UACGUAGGGGGCAAGCGUUGUCCGGAAUCAUUGGGCGUAAAGCGCGUGUAGGCGGCUCGGUAAGUCCGCUCUGAAAGUCCGGGGCUCAACCCCGGGAGGCGGGUGGAUACUGCUGAGCUCGAGUCCGGAAGAGGCGAGUGGAAUUCCUGGUGUAGCGGUGAAAUGCGCAGAUAUCAGGAGGAACACCAAUGGCGAAGGCAGCUCGCUGGGACGUUACUGACACUAAGGCGCGAAAGCGUGGGGAGCGAACAGG
rnacentral:rRNA from 1 species